rnacentral:rRNA from 1 species
AGUGCAAUGGCAUAAGCCAGCUUGACUGCGAGCGUGACGGCGCGAGCAGGUGCGAAAGCAGGUCAUAGUGAUCCGGUGGUUCUGAAUGGAAGGGCCAUCGCUCAACGGAUAAAAGGUACUCCGGGGAUAACAGGCUGAUACCGCCCAAGAGUUCAUAUCGACGGCGGUGUUUGGCACCUCGAUGUCGGCUCAUCACAUCCUGGGGCUGAAGUAGGUCCCAAGGGUAUGGCUGUUCGCCAUUUAAAGUGGUACGCGAGCUGGGUUUAGAACGUCGUGAGACAGUUCGGUCCCUAUCUGCCGUGGGCGCUGGAGAACUGAGGGGGGCUGCUCCUAGUACGAGAGGACCGGAGUGGACGCAUCACUGGUGUUCGGGUUGUCAUGCCAAUGGCACUGCCCGGUAGCUAAAUGCGGAAGAGAUAAGUGCUGAA